GACAGAGGGUGCAAACGUUGCUCGGAAUUACUGGGCGUAAAGCGAGCGUAGUCGGUUAUUUAAGUCGGAUGUGAAAUCCCAAGGCUCAACCUUGGAACUGCCUUUGAUACUGGGGAUCUCGAGUUCGGGAGAGGUGAGUGGAACUGCGAGUGUAGAGGUGAAAUUCGUAGAUAUUCGCAAGAACACCAGUGGCGAAGGCGGCUCACUGGCCCGAUACUGACGCUGAGGUGCGAAAGCGUGGGGAGCAAACAGG
rnacentral:rRNA from 1 species